rnacentral:rRNA from 1 species
AUCAUGAGUUCACAUGUCCGCAUGAUUAAAGGUAUUUUCCGGUAGACGAUGGGGAUGCGUUCCAUUAGAUAGUAGGCGGGGUAACGGCCCACCUAGUCAACGAUGGAUAGGGGUUCUGAGAGGAAGGUCCCCCACAUUGGAACUGAGACACGGUCCAAACUCCUACGGGAGGCAGCAGUGAGGAAUAUUGGUCAAUGGGCGAUGGCCUGAACCAGCCAAGUAGCGUGAAGGAUGACUGCCCUAUGGGUUGUAAACUUCUUUUAUAAAGGAAUAAAGUCGGGUAUGCAUACCCGUUUGCAUGUACUUUAUGAAUAAGGAUCGGCUGACUCCGUGCCAGCAGCCGCGGUAAUACGGAGGAUCCGAGCGUUAUCCGGAUUUAUUGGGUUUAAAGGGAGCGUAGAUGGAUGUUUAAGUCAGUUGUGAAAGUUUGCGGCUCAACCGUAAAAUUGCAGUUGAUACUGGAUGUCUUGAGUGCAGUUGAGGCAGGCGGAAUUCGUGGUGUAGCGGUGAAAUGCUUAGAUAUCACGAAGAACUCCGAUUG